GAUGAACGCUGGCGGCGUGCCUAAUACAUGCAAGUCGAGCGAACAGACGAGGAGCUUGCUCCUCUGACGUUAGCGGCGGACGGGUGAGUAACACGUGGAUAACCUACCUAUAAGCCUGGGAUAACUUCGGGAAACCGGAGCUAAUACCGGAUAAUAUAUUGAACCGCAUGGUUCAAUAGUGAAAGCCGGUUUUGCUGUCACUUAUAGAUGGAUCCGCGCCGCCUUAGCUAGUUGGUAAGGUAACGGCUUACCAAGGCAACGAUGCGUAGCCGACCUGAGAGGGUGAUCGGCCACACUGGAACUGAGACACGGUCCAGACUCCUACGGGAGGCAGCAGUAGGGAAUCUUCCGCAAUGGGCGAGAGCUUGACGGAGCAACGCCGCGUGAGUGAUGAAGGUCUUCGGAUCGUAAAACUCUGUUAUUAGGGAAGAACAAAUGUGUAAGUAACUAUGCACGUCUUGACGGUACCUAAUCAGAAAGCCACGGCUAACUACGUG
rnacentral:rRNA from 1 species